GGGUGAGUAACGCGUAAGUAAUCUGUCCUGAUAUCUGGAAUAACACUCCGAAAGGUGUGCUAAUACCGGAUACGCUGAGAAAUCAGGAAAGGUGGCCUCUUCAUGAAAGCUACUGUAUCAGGAGGAGCUUGCGUACCAUUAGCUAGUUGGUGGGGUAAUGGCCUACCAAGGCAACGAUGGUUAGCGGGUCUGAGAGGAUGAUCCGCCACACUGGAACUGGAACACGGACCAGACUCCUACGGGAGGCAGCAGUGAGGAAUAUUGCGCAAUGGGGGCAACCCUGACGCAGCGACGCCGCGUGGAUGAUGAAGGCCUUCGGGUCGUAAAAUCCUGUCAGAUGGAAAGAAAUGUCAUAUGCCUAAUAUGUGUAUGAUUUGACGGUACCAUCAAAGGAAGCACCGGCUAACUCCGUGCCAGCAGCCGCGGUAAUACGGAGGGUGCAAGCGUUGUUCGGAAUUACUGGGCGUAAAGCGCGCGUAGGCGGCUUUUUAAGUCAGAUGUGAAAGUCCACGGCUCAACCGUGGAAGUGCAUUUGAUACUGGGAAGCUUGAGUACUGGAGGGGAUGGUGGAAUUCCCGGUGUAGAGGUGAAAUUCGUAGAUAUCGGGAGGAAUACCGGUGGCGAAGGCGACCAUCUGGCCAGAUACUGACGCUGAGGUG
rnacentral:rRNA from 1 species